GACUGCUCUGGUGGCCUAGUGGUUUGAGUGUCUGCUUUAGAUGCAGGAGGUUGUGGGUUUGAUCCUUGGCAGAGUCA